GACGUAACGCGUAUCGACAACCUACCUAUACGAGGAGGGAACGUAACCGGCGAAGUCGGACUAAUACCGCAUAAAACAGGGGCACCGCAUGGUGAUAUUUGUUAAAGAAAUUCGCUGAUAGAUGGGCAUGCGUUCCAUUAGGUAGUUGGUGAGGUAACGGCUCACCAAGCCGACGAUGGAUAGGGAACUGAGAGGUUGGUCCCCCACACUGGUACUGAGACACGGACCAGACUCCUACGGGAGGCAGCAGUGAGGAAUAUUGGUCAAUGGGCGAGAGCCUGAACCAGCCAAGUCGCCGUGAAGGAAGAAGGAUCUAUGGUUCGUAAACUUCUUUUGCAGGGGAAUAAAGUGCGGGACGUGUCCUGUUUUGUAUGUACCCUGAGAAUAAGGAUCGGCUAACUCCGUGCCAGCCGCAGC
rnacentral:rRNA from 1 species